rnacentral:tRNA from 1 species
AGGGUUGCAGCUCAGUGAUAGAGCUUUUGCCUAACAUGUGAGAGGCCAUGGGUUCAAUCCCCAACACUGCUA